rnacentral:rRNA from 1 species
CCAUAGUAGCGGCGAGCGAAAUGGGAAGAGGCCAAACGAUCAUGCUUGCAUGAUCGGGUUGUAGGACUCAAGAAUGGACGAUUGUUGUUAGUUGAACACGUUGGAGAGCGUGGCCAAAGAAGGUGACAGCCCUGUAGGCGAAAACAACAUGAACCAAUGAGGAUCCUGAGUACGGCGGAACACGAGAAAUUCCGUCGGAAUCAGCCGGGACCAUCCGGCAAGCCUAAAUACUACCUAGUGACCGAUAGUGAACCAGUACCGUGAGGGAAAGGUGAAAAGAACCCCGGAAGGGGAGUGAAAAGCACUUGAAACCGUAUGCUUACAAGUAGUCAGAGCCCGUUAAUGGGUGAUGGCGUACCUUUUGUAGAAUGGACCGGCGAGUGACGAUUUCAUGC